CGGCGAGAGCGGGUCGCCGC
rnacentral:snRNA from 1 species